rnacentral:misc_RNA from 1 species
UCGUACAAUGGAGGUGCCGGAGCUGUCGCUGACCUUUUCGGUCGUGCACGCCUCGGUGCUCUCACACAAUCCAUCUCACCCCUUUUGUGCAUCACCGCGUGGGGACCCCUUUCGGCCAGUUCCGAUGGGGGGUUUUCACGUUUUUACAAAGACACCCUUUUAAUGCAAUGUGUAGAAUGUCUUACUUUUUUUGCGAUCACACGCAAUCAAUA